rnacentral:lncRNA from 1 species
GUUGUCUCCUCAAUAUUUUAUUCUAAUUUGUUAUAAACUUGAAGCUCUUUGGAAUGUGUAUACCCCAAUUGAUACUAGUGCAAAUCAUUGUCUGUGUCUCAGUACAUAAAUACAUAACUAUAAUGGAGCAAACAAUUUGGAAACAACUUGUUUAAAGAUUGUCAUUAGGCAAUGCUUGUGGUUUGUUUUAUCUUAAAGCAUGUGCAGCAGAAUAAAGCUAAAUUUUUACAUAAUUUUGCAAUGCACCUGAGCUUUGAAAUGGGGAUUAAUGUAAACUCGAAUGAACCAUGUAUAUUAGGUCUACAGGUAUGUCAAAUAAACCGUUGGACAGACAUGUACACCUUACAAUCAUUCUAUACACCAAAUAUAGCUGACAGAUCUGGUGGAGUAAAAAU